ACACGUAGGGGCCUGACGUUGUUCGGAAUCAUUGGGCGUAAAGGGCGCGCAGGCGGCCGUCCAAGUCCGGUGUUAAAUGGUCGGGCUCAACCCGAUCAUGCGCUGGGAACUGGGCGGCUGGAAUCCCGGAGGGGAUGCCGGAAUUCCAGGUGUAGGGGUGAAAUGCGUAGAUAUCAGGAAGAAUACCAGUGGCGAAGGCGGUUUGCUGGCUGCAUACUGACGCUGAAGCGCGAAAGCCAGGGGAGCGAACGGGAUUAGAUACCCCGGUAGUCCUGGCAGUAAACGAUGUAUGCUGGGUGUGAGACUAGCGAUAGUUUCGUGCCGAAGUUAACGCGAUAAGCAUACCGCCUGGGGAGUACGGUCGCAAGAUUGAAACUCAAAGGAAUUGGCGGGG
rnacentral:rRNA from 1 species